CAAUUCAGAGCUUGUAAAAGCGUCUUAUUUACACUAAGAAGUUAUUUGUAAAUUCAAUUUGAGUUGA
rnacentral:tRNA from 1 species